AGCGAACGCUGGCGGCAGGCCUAACACAUGCAAGUCGAACGAACUCUUCGGAGUUAGUGGCGGACGGGUGAGUAACACGUGGGAACGUGCCUUUUGGUUCGGCAUAACUCAGGGAAACUUGUGCUAAUACCGUAUGUGCCCUUCGGGGGUGGGGUUUAUGGGGGUGGGGGGGGGGGGGGUGGGGGUGGGGGGUUGGGGGGGGAGGGGGGGGGGAGGGCGGGGGGGGGGGGCUGGUCUGAGAGGAUGACCAGCCACACUGGGACUGAGACACGGCCCAGACUCCUACGGGAGGCAGCAGUGGGGAAUCUUGCGCAAUGGGCGAAAGCCUGACGCAGCCAUGCCGCGUGAAUGAUGAAGGUCUUAGGAUUGUAAAAUUCUUUCACCGGGGACGAUAAUGACGGUACCCGGAGAAGAAGCCCCGGCUAACUUCGUG
rnacentral:rRNA from 1 species